rnacentral:rRNA from 1 species
CGAGCACGCGCGUGUGGCAUAUCAAUAAGCGGAGGAAAAGAAACUAACAAGGAUUCCCCUAGUAACGGCGAGUGAAGCGGGAAGAGCUCAAAUUUGAAAUCUUAAAGGGUUCUACCUUGACGAAUUGUAGUUUAUAGAAGUGUUUUCUGUAGUGGAGUUCGGUAAAAGUUCUUUGGAAUAGGACAUCAUAGAGGGUGAGAAUCCCGUAUUUGGUCAUUCCUCCUAGCGUUGUGAUACACUUUCAACGAGUCGGAUUGUUUGGGAAUGCAGUCCAAAAUGGGUGGUAAAUUUCAUCUAAAGCUAAAUAUUGGCGAGAGACCGAUAGCGAACAAGUACCGUGAGGGAAAGAUGAAAAGAACUUUGAGAAGAGAGUUAAACAGUACGUGAAAUUGUCAAAAGGGAAGCGUUUGACACCAGUGUUGUUUUCUCGAAAAUCAAUUAAAAAUGAGUGGAUUUUGUGUUGUAUUGACUUUAUCAGCCUUCUGCACUUUUUUCUUAUCUUUUUUAAUGCACUUUUCGUUUAACAAGUCAACAUCAAUUUCUUUUGUUGUAAAAGAGUCAUUGGAAGGUGGCUUUUUCUUCGGAAAAAGUGUUUAUAGCCUUUGGCUUCUGCAAUCGGAGAGAUUGAGGUCUGCAGCGUAGAUCCUUCGGGGUUAGAUACAUUUGUGCUAAGCUAUAGUUCUUUAUUGACAACUUGUUGACUAUAAUCAAUCCUGUAACUUACUCGCUUAUGCUAUUUUACCUACGCUUAGGAUGUUGAGUAGCGACAUACGCAC